CCCUUAGAUGUUCUGGGCCGCACGCGUGCUACACUGAGUGGAUCAGCGGGUCAGGUUGCGCGAAAGUGUUUCCUAAUCUUGAAAUCCGCUCGUGAUGGGGAUUGACGGUUGCAAUUUUCCGUCAUGAACGAGGAAUACCUUGUAAGCGCGGGUCAUCAUCCCACGCUGAAUACGUCCCUGCCCUUUGUACACACCGCCCGUCGCUCCUACCGAUUGAGUGGUCCGGUGAGGCUUUGGGAUCUGAGCGGAAAGAGCGUUUCGCUGUUUCUGCUCGGAAAACUCAGUCGAACCUUAUCAUUUAGAGGAAGGAGAAGUCGUAACA
rnacentral:rRNA from 1 species